UCAGGUGAGUUUUGAUUUCAGGUUGGUUUGGAUAUAACACAAUUAGUAAUGAAAACCCCUUCGUCUCUUUGCCUACCAAUAUUUUGUCCCUUUCUCCUCUUGAAACCUCAAAAUCAAUGGGAAAUACCCUAAUGGGUUGUUUCCUCACCUAGAGAAUGAUUAUCAAUUGCCCAUGGAAAACCAAGACCCCUCCAAUUGCCAAAUUUUAUAGUCACAAUCGAAUUCAAGGAAAAUCUUAUAGUCCUAACCAACCACGGAUAAGCUUAUCAUAAAAUUAAUCUCGGGAUUAGUUUUCUCUUAUACCUUGUAGCAAAUGAG
rnacentral:lncRNA from 1 species